UUUGGGGGUACUCGAGUGGCGAACGGGUGAGUAACACGUGAGUAACCUGCCCUUGACUUUGGGAUAACUUCAGGAAACUGGGGCUAAUACCGGAUAGGAGCUCCUGCUGCAUGGUGGGGGAUGGAAAGUUUCGGCGGUUGGGGAUGGACUCGCGGCUUAUCAGCUUGUUGGUGGGGUAGUGGCUUACCAAGGCUUUGACGGGUAGCCGGCCUGAGAGGGUGACCGGCCACAUUGGGACUGAGAUACGGCCCAG
rnacentral:rRNA from 1 species